rnacentral:rRNA from 1 species
UACAGAGGUCCCAAGCGUUGUUCGGAUUUACUGGGCGUAAAGGGUGCGUAGGUGGCGGGGUAAGUCUGGUGUGAAAGCUCCGAGCUCAACUCGGAAAAGCAUUGGAAACUAUCCCGCUAGAGGGUCGGAGGGGAGACUGGAAUUCUCGGUGUAGCAGUGAAAUGCGUAGAUAUCGAGAGGAACACCAGUGGCGAAGGCGAGUCUCUGGACGACUCCUGACACUGAGGCACGAAAGCUAGGGGAGCAAACAGG